GAUGAACGCUGGCGGCGUGCCUAAUACAUGCAAGUCGAGCGAACGGACGAGAAGCUUGCUUCUCUGAUGUUAGCGGCGGACGGGUGAGUAACACGUGGAUAACCUACCUAUAAGACUGGGAUAACUUCGGGAAACCGGAGCUAAUACCGGAUGAUAUUUUGAACCGCAUGGUUCAAAAGUGAAAGACGGUCUUGCUGUCACUUAUAGAUGGAUCCGCGCUGCAUUAGCUAGUUGGUAAGGUAACGGCUUACCAAGGCAACGAUGCAUAGCCGACCUGAGAGGGUGAUCGGCCACACUGGAACUGAGACACGGUCCAGACUCCUACGGGAGGCAGCAGUAGGGAAUCUUCCGCAAUGGGCGAAAGCCUGACGGAGCAACGCCGCGUGAGUGAUGAAGGUCUUCGGAUCGUAAACCUCUGUUAUUAGGGAAGAACAUAUGUGUAAGUAACUGUGCACAUCUUGACGGUACCUAAUCGGAAAGCCACGGCUAACUACGUG
rnacentral:rRNA from 1 species